AGCGAACGCUGGCGGCAGGCCUAACACAUGCAAGUCGAACGGACCCUUCGGGGUUAGUGGCGGACGGGUGAGUAACACGUGGGAACGUGCCUUUAGGUUCGGAAUAGCUCCUGGAAACGGGUGGUAAUGCCGAAUGUGCCCUUCGGGGGAAAGAUUUAUCGCCUUUAGAGCGGCCCGCGUCUGAUUAGCUUGUUGGUGGGGUAAUGGCCCACCAAGGCUACGAUCAGUAGCUGGUCUGAGAGGAUGACCAGCCACAUUGGGACUGAGACACGGCCCAAACUCCUACGGGAGGCAGCAGUGGGGAAUCUUGCGCAAUGGGCGAAAGCCUGACGCAGCCAUGCCGCGUGUAUGAUGAAGGUCUUAGGAUUGUAAAAUACUUUCACCGGUGAAGAUAAUGACUGUAGCCGGAGAAGAAGCCCCGGCUAACUUCGUGCCAGCAGCCGCGGUAAUACGAAGGGGGCUAGCGUUGCUCGGAAUUACUGGGCGUAAAGGGAGCGUAGGCGGACAUUUAAGUCGUA
rnacentral:rRNA from 1 species